GCCCGCUUUUGAUUUUGAUGGUCUCGACUUUCGCUCUUAAGAUUGUUCUUUUGAACUUUCUGAAAUCUUAUAUCACUUCACAUAUACACAGCGGCAACUAUAUCGUGUUUAGAAGGUCCAGAUUUACUCAGAAGUGAUAAACUGGAACAUUCCGUCGCGCAUUUCAAGAAAGUUCCCACUUUCACUUCAAAUAAGGUCUCAUUCAUGCGGUUACCUUCUUGGAAUGUUUUUACUGCACCAUGCGAAAUGGCCAAGCCAUACUCACGCGAUAGACUUUGGCUAGAUUAUCAUCUACACAGUAAUAAAGGAGAUUGGAGGCUAAAAGAAUCCUCGAACAAACAGUGAGUUUUUUUUUUCUCAGAGAGCAGCUCUACCAAACGGCAUGUCCUAUUUCUUUUCUGACUUGUUUAGAACUUGCAAUAAUCCAUAUAAAAAUAUUUAAAAAAAGUGAAAAAAAAUUGCAAAAUAACAGAAUGCAAACAUGCACUAGGCUUGUUAGAGCUGUAACUUAUCUCUGAUUUUAACUUUGGCUAUACUUCGGCAAUGGGCGUGGCAGUGUUCCUAAUCAAAGGGAAUACUAAAAGGAGAAGAGGCCAAAAAUGUUUAAUGAAAUGUUGUAUGGUUGAAUCUGUAUUAACCAUAUAAUAGUUUGGAGUCUUGAAUUCAAGGCUCUUUACAAAGCUGUAGAUUUUCAUCUCUAAAAAGGAUGAAAAUAGUAACUCUAUGCAAAUGGCUAUUACAGGAUAAUUUUUAGGAUUACAAUUUUGAACUGCAAGCUUCUAAAAAAGCGAGAAUUACCAGGUUUGUGUAAAAAAAGUGACCGAUUUUUAGAUUCUGAAAAAAAGAUCAUUUUCUAAUCACAAACUAUUGUCUGGUAAUCCUGCUUUUCUAUAAAUAGAAACGAAAUAAGAUCCAGACUGCAGACAAGCAUUGCUUUCUUAUAAAGCAAUUGCAAACUUAAAUAAAUAUAUCACAAUUAUUAGCUAGCAAAAGGGCCAGAGUAUUAUACGAAUCUGUGCCCUUGGGAGGGGGGAGGAUUUAUUUUGAUUAGGCGAAGCCUGUCACAUAAUUUUUUGUUAAGUCCUUUUUUAUCACGAACAAAUGGUUCGUUAGUUUGAGAUUUUGGUAGUCUAGGCAUUACUGGUCUGCGUGGGAGGAUUCAGUCACCUGGAGGUAUGCUUCCCCCUC